rnacentral:rRNA from 2 species
AAAUUGAAGAGUUUGAUCAUGGCUCAGAUUGAACGCUGGCGGCAGGCCUAACACAUGCAAGUCGAACGGUAGCACAGAGAGCUUGCUCUCGGGUGACGAGUGGCGGACGGGUGAGUAAUGUCUGGGAAACUGCCUGAUGGAGGGGGAUAACUACUGGAAACGGUAGCUAAUACCGCAUAACGUCGCAAGACCAAAGAGGGGGACCUUCGGGCCUCUUGCCAUCAGAUGUGCCCAGAUGGGAUUAGCUAGUAGGUGGGGUAACGGCUCACCUAGGCGACGAUCCCUAGCUGGUCUGAGAGGAUGACCAGCCACACUGGAACUGAGACACGGUCCAGACUCCUACGGGAGGCAGCAGUGGGGAAUAUUGCACAAUGGGCGCAAGCCUGAUGCAGCCAUGCCGCGUGUAUGAAGAAGGCCUUCGGGUUGUAAAGUACUUUCAGCGGGGAGGAAGGUGUUGAGGUUAAUAACCUCAGCAAUUGACGUUACCCGCAGAAGAAGCACCGGCUAACUCCGUGCCAGCAGCCGCGGUAAUACGGAGGGUGCAAGCGUUAAUCGGAAUUACUGGGCGUAAAGCGCACGCAGGCGGUCUGUCAAGUCGGAUG